UGGGGAAUAUUGCACAAUGGGCGCAAGCCUGAUGCAGCCAUGCCGCGUGUAUGAAGAAGGCCUUCGGGUUGUAAAGUACUUUCAGCGGGGAGGAAGGUGUUGUGGUUAAUAACCACAGCAAUUGACGUUACCCGCAGAAGAAGCACCGGCUAACCCCGUGCCAGCAGCCGCGGUAAUAGGGAGGGUUCAACGGUUAAUCGGAAUUACCGGGCGUAAAGCGCACGCAGGCGGUCUGUCAAGUCGGAUGUGAAAUCCCCGGGCUCAACCUGGGAACUGCAUCCGAAACUGGCAGGCUUGAGUCUUGUAGAGGGGGGUAGAAUUCCAGGUGUAGCGGUGAAAUGCGUAGAGAUCUGGAGGAAUACCGGUGGCGAAGGCGGCCCCCUGGACAAAGACUGACGCUCAGGUGCGAAAGCGUGGGGAGCAAACA
rnacentral:rRNA from 1 species